rnacentral:rRNA from 1 species
UGCAGUCGAGCGGACAGAUGGGAGCUUGCUCCCUGAUGUUAGCGGCGGACGGGUGAGUAACACGUGGGUAACCUGCCUGUAAGACUGGGAUAACUCCGGGAAACCGGGGCUAAUACCGGAUGCUUGUUUGAACCGCAUGGUUCAAACAUAAAAGGUGGCUUCGGCUACCACUUACAGAUGGACCCGCGGCGCAUUAGCUAGUUGGUGAGGUAAUGGCUCACCAAGGCAACGAUGCGUAGCCGACCUGAGAGGGUGAUCGGCCACACUGGGACUGAGACACGGCCCAGACUCCUACGGGAGGCAGCAGUAGGGAAUCUUCCGCAAUGGACGAAAGUCUGACGGAGCAACGCCGCGUGAGUGAUGAAGGUUUUCGGAUCGUAAAGCUCUGUUGUUAGGGAAGAACAAGUACCGUUCGAAUAGGGCGGUACCUUGACGGUACCUAACCAGAAAGCCACGGCUAACUACGUGCCAGCAGCCGCGGUAAUACGUAGGUGGCAAGCGUUGUCCGGAAUUAUUGGGCGUAAAGGGCUCGCAGGCGGUUCCUUAAGUCUGAUGUGAAAGCCCCCGGCUCAACCGGGGAGGGUCAUUGGAAACUGGGGAACUUGAGUGCAGAAGAGGAGAGUGGAAUUCCACGUGUAGCGGUGAAAUGCGUAGAGAUGUGGAGGAACACCAGUGGCGAAGGCGACUCUCUGGUCUGUAACUGACGCUGAGGAGCGAAAGCGUGGGGAGCGAACAGGAUUAGAUACCCUGGUAGUCCACGCCGUAAACGAUGAGUGCUAAGUGUUAGGGGGUUUCCGCCCCUUAGUGCUGCAGCUAACGCAUUAAGCACUCCGCCUGGGGGAGUACGGUCGCAAGACUGAAACUCAAAGGAAUUUGACGGGGGCCCGCACAAGCGGUGGAGCAUGUGGUUUAAUUC